rnacentral:RNase_P_RNA from 1 species
GGAGUGGAUCGAACGGUCACGGGAUUCUCACAUUGGAUCUCGAGGAAAGUCCGGACUCCAAAGGGCAGGAUGCUGGAUAACUACCAGCAAGGGUGAUCUUGAGAUAGGGCCAUAGAAACGAAAACCGCCGUAAAGGCAAGGGUGGAAAGGCGAGGUAAGAGCUCACCAACACUUGUGUGAGCAAGUGGUUUGGUAACCCUCAUCUGGAGCAAGGCCAAAUAGGAGAAGGUCUGAGGUCGCCCACCGACUUCUCGGGUAGGUCGCUAAAGAGAUGUGGUAACACAUCUCUCAGAUGGAUGAUCGUUCUCGACAAAAUCCGGCUUACAGAUUCACUCCGAAG